UACGUAGGGUGCAAGCGUUAAUCGGAAUUACUGGGCGUAAAGCGUGCGCAGGCGGUGAUGUAAGACAGAUGUGAAAUCCCCGGGCUCAACCUGGGAACUGCAUUUGUGACUGUAUCGCUGGAGUGCGGCAGAGGGGGAUGGAAUUCCGCGUGUAGCAGUGAAAUGCGUAGAUAUGCGGAGGAACACCGAUGGCGAAGGCAAUCCCCUGGGCCUGCACUGACGCUCAUGCACGAAAGCGUGGGGAGCAAACAGG
rnacentral:rRNA from 1 species